GUUUGGGUAUAUUGGUAGUACUUCGCUUGUUGUGUGAAUUUUAGAAAGACGUGUGUAUAUUUCAAACUCUGUUUACUAUACUGACGUUAGGCAUACAUGUUAGCGCAAUAAUCAUACGACCGUUUUCUUUGAUGAUUUUGUUUUGUUUUUGUUUAGCAUGAAACGCAAGUGUAUAGACGGGACUGGUUUUAAUCAGACUGGUUUUUGUUUAUAUUUGUUUCCAUAUUAACUAUUUUU
rnacentral:lncRNA from 1 species